rnacentral:sRNA from 1 species
UUGAGGAGGAAACAAAAUGAACGAAGUUCAUUUUCUAUAAACGUUUCCGACGAAUUGCCAACCACCGAAGGUAGGAGGCGUUACAUAUU